GAACCAACGCCAGUCGGGCCCGAGCUCUCGCCACGUACACCCUUCCCUCGCCUCGCGGCCGGUCCCUUGUGUACCCACGCCGCCAACCCCCAACUCCCCCGCGCCGCACUUUCUUUCUCGCGGUUCGCUUCCGUCUUCCUCGGAUCUCUCGAGGAGAGAAGGGGAAGUCUGGAGCGAGCUCGAUGCCGGCCCUGAGGACGGCGGCGGAGUUCUCUGGUGGGGAGGGGAUGGCCUGGAGGAAUGGGAUCGCGUGGUGGGACGAGAUCGACGGCUCGGAGGAGUGGCAGCGCGGCAUCUUCUACGCCCUCUGCGCCGCCUACUCCCUCGUCUCCCUUGUCGCUCUGGUGCAACUUAUCCGAAUUCAUCUAAGGGUGCCGGAAUACGGAUGGACAACGCAAAAGCUUUUUCACCUAAUGAAUUUUGUUGCGAAUGGAUUGCGUGCGGUACUUUUUGGCUUCUACCACCGCGUGUUUCUUCUCAAAUCAAAGGCUCUUGAGAUGGCACUUCUAGAUCUCCCUGGUCUAUUGUUCUUCUCAACCUACACUCUACUAGUGUUAUUUUGGGCAGAGAUAUAUCAUCAGGCUAGGAGCCUUCCAAUUGAUAAGCUAAGACCUACAUAUUUAAUAAUCAAUGGGGCCAUAUACAUCACACAGAUUUGCAUUUGGGUAUAUGUCCAAAUAAGUCCUAAGCCUGUUGCCAUUGAAGCUGCUAAAGUCUUUUUGGCAAUUGUUUCAUUCUCUGCUGCUUUUGGAUUUUUGAUAUAUGGUGGGAGGUUGUUUUUUAUGCUGAGGCGCUUCCCAAUUGAAUCUAAGGGUCGCCAAAAAAAGCUGAAUGAGGUUGGUUCUGUGACUGCUAUAUGCUGCGCAUGUUUCUUGAUGCGGUGCUUUGUGGUCGCCCUUUCUGCAUUUGACAAGGAUGCUGACCUUGACGUCCUCGAUCAUCCAAUUUUGAAUUUAAUUUAUUACCUGUUGGUUGAAAUUCUCCCAUCGGCUCUAGUAUUAUUCAUCCUUCGGAAUCUGCCCCCGAAGCGAGUUUCAGAUCGAUACCACCCAUUAACUGAGAAGCUUUAGUAGGACUAGUUGAUGAGUCUCAGGCACUCAAUUGGCCAUGACAAUGCUGGUUCGAUGCGGCAUGUUGGUCUUUGCAUCCAGCUAAUCAGUGACAUUUUAUUUCUUGUUAAUUUUAUGGGGGUUGAUGACAUCAGGAUGGGAUGGUGAUUAGGACCCAACCAAUGACAUGGAUACUGCUGGACUCCAGUCAUAACCACCAGGCUGCGAUGGUUCAACCCUCAAGAAAGAUUUGGCGAACAUCUUGGCCUGUUAUUCUCAUUGAAAUGGGUAAAGAUCUGAUGUAAUUAGCAUUGGAUUUGCAAAACCCUACACCUAAUUUAGUACUUAUUAACAGUUGAAGGACUUCAACAGUUUAGGAAGGGGUGGCUGGUUUUAAAUUAUGAUUCAGAUACGACUCACGUGUAUGGGAUGUUAUACACUUCUGCAGAUAUUGAUUCUCUUCUUUAUGAAGU